GUGCCAGCCGCCGCGGUAAGACAGAGGGUGCAAGCGUUAAUCGGAAUGACUGGGCGUAAAGGGCGCGUAGGUGGUAGGAGAAGUUGGAUGUAAAAGGCCCAAGCUUAACUUAGGACGUGCAUCCAAAACUGACCUACUUGAGUACAGCAGAGGGAAGCGGAAUUUCCAGUGUAGCGGUGAAAUGCGUAGAUAUUGGAAAGAACACCAGAAGCGAAGGCGGCUUCCUGGGCUGAGACUGACACUGAGGCGCGAAAGCGUGGGGAGCGAACAGGAUUAGAUACCCUGGUAGUCCAUGCUGUAAACGAUGAGAACUGGCUGUUGGUACCGAUAGGUAUCAGUCGCGAAGUUAACACGAUAAGUUCUCCGCCUGGGGAGUACGGCCGCAAGGCUAAAACUCAAAGGAAUUGACGGGGGCCCGCACAAGCGGUGGAGCAUGUGGUUUAAUUCGACGCAACGCGAAGAACCUUACCUGGGCUUGACAUCCUCUGACCGUCCUGGAAACAGGAUUUUUCCGAUUUAUCGGAACAGAGAGACAGGUGCUGCAUGGCUGUCGUCAGCUCGUGUCGUGAGAUGUUGGGUUAAGUCCCGCAACGAGCGCAACCCUUGUCUUCAGUUGCCCUUAUUCAGUUAGGCACUCUGAAGAGACUGCCUCGGUUAACGAGGAGGAAGGUGGGGAUGACGUCAAGUCCUCAUGGCCUUUAUGCCCAGGGCUACACACGUGCUACAAUGGGCGGUACAAAGGGUCGCUACUUCGCAAGGAGAUGCUAAUCCCAAAAAUCCGCUCUCAGUUCGGAUUGGAGUCUGCAACUCGACUCCAUGAAGUUGGAAUCGCUAGUAAUCGUGGAUCAGCAUGCCACGGCGAAUACGUUCCCGGGCCUUGUACACACCGCCCGUCACACCACGAAAGUCGAUUGUACCAGAAGUCGCUGGCCCAACCCUUCGGGGAGGGAGGCGCCUAAGGUGUGGUCGGUGAUUGGGGUGAAGUCGUAACAAGGUAACC
rnacentral:rRNA from 1 species